CACGUAGGCACCAAGCGUUGUCCGGAUUUAUUGGGCGUAAAGAGCUCGUAGGCGGUUCGGUAAGUCGGAUGUGAAAACUUUGGGCUCAACCCAAAGCGUGCACUCGAUACUGCUGUGACUAGAGUUCGGUAGGGGAGUGGGGAAUUCCUAGUGUAGCGGUGAAAUGCGCAGAUAUUAGGAGGAACACCGGUGGCGAAGGCGCCACUCUGGGCCGAAACUGACGCUGAGGAGCGAAAGCGUGGGUAGCAAACAGG
rnacentral:rRNA from 1 species